CUUCGUUUACUGAUGCUGUUACAAUUCCAUCAUUGGAAUUGGCAUAAUAUCCAAACAAUGCAUGAAAAGGGGUGUCACACUGUUGAAAAAAUCCUGGAUAAGCGUGUGAGAUACGGAAAAGUUGAGUACCUCCACAGGUUCUUCGUUUACUGAUGCUGUUACAAUUCCAUCAUUGGAAUUGGCAUAAUAUCCAAACAAUGCAUGAAAAGGGGUGUCACACUGUUGAAAAAAUCCUCGACAAGCGUGUGAGAUACGGAAAAGUUGAGUACCUCCACAGGUUCUUCGUUUACUGAUGCUGUUACAAUUCCAUCAUUGGAAUUGGCAUAAUAUCCAAACAAUGCAUGAAAAGGGGUGUCACACUGUUGAAAAAAUCCUCGACAAGCGUGUGAGAUACGGAAAAGUUGAGUACCUCCACAGGUUCUUCGUUUACUGAUGCUGUUACAAUUCCAUCAUUGGAAUUGGCAUAAUAUCCAACAAUGCAUGAAAAGGGGUGUCACACUGUUGAAAAAAUAAUCGACAAGCGUGUGAGAUACGGAAAAGUUGAGUACCUCCACAGGUUCUUCGUUUACUGAUGCUGUUACAAUUCCAUCAUUGGAAUUGGCAUAAUAUCCAAACAAUGCAUGAAAAGGGGUGUCACACUGUUGAAAAAAUUCUGGAUAAGCGUGUGAGAUACGGAAAAGUUGAGUACCUCCACAGGUUCUUCGUUUACUGAUGCUGUUACAAUUCCAUCAUUGGAAUUGGCAUAAUAUCCAAACAAUGCAUGAAAAGGGGUGUCACACUGUUGAAAAAAUCCUGGAUAAGCGUGUGAGAUACGGAAAAGUUGAGUACCUCCACAGGUUCUUCGUUUACUGAUGCUGUUACAAUUCCAUCAUUGGAAUUGGCAUAAUAUCCAAACAAUGCAUGAAAAGGGGUGUCACACUGUUGAAAAAAUAAUCGACAAGCGUGUGAGAUACGGAAAAGUUGAGUACCUCCACAGGUUCUUCGUUUACUGAUGCUGUUACAAUUCCAUCAUUGGAAUUGGCAUAAUAUCCAAACAAUGCAUGAAAAGGGGUGUCACACUGUUGAAAAAAUUCUGGAUAAGCGUGUGAGAUACGGAAAAGUUGAGUACCUCCACAGGUUCUUCGUUUACUGAUGCUGUUACAAUGGUUACUUCGUUUGCCUUCAACAAUUGAUCACUAUUCACUUUUACUCGUGCUGACUUCAUUUUACAGAAAACUUCAUCAUCAAAUUUAAAAAUAUAAUCGUAUCCAAAUAUUACCUCAUUUUUGGUUUUAAUAAAAGUAACAUUUUCACGAUCCGUAAAGGUACGUCCGAUUAAUAAAUCAUAACUUUGUGCCAAAUCUUCGACUACCCAUAGUUCGACCAUCUCUGCUACGUCAUCAACUUCCACAGUUACCGACGUAACAUCAUUCACUACAUUUAUCGGGUUAUUGCCGUACACAGUAAGUUGUUUAGUCGUAGGUAACACACACAAAUUUAACUGUUUAGCUGCACUGGCUUUUAUUAAACACACAUCGCAUCCAGUGUCCACCAAUCCCUGAAUCAAUACUGGGUUGUUGUUGAUCUUAACCAUUUUAAUGUAGCCAGAUUUGUUGAGGUUCGUAUUUACUAAACUAACCACCGUUUGGGUCACUGUCUUACAA